GCGGUUCGUGCCAAGAUAUUUUUUAAUUAAAGUGGGUUGAAUUACCAAGUUCUAGUUGUUCCUGCAGAAACAACUAGAACUUCUGGAAGCCUGGAUGGAGGAACCAUUUAUUCUAACAGCGUAGCUUGGGUGAAAUAUCAACAUGUCGAUGAAUUGGCCAUUGCAGCCUUUUUUAAUGCAAGUUGCAUUAUCUAACAAAGAUGCUGGGGCAGAACAUCAAGAUGACUGCCAAGGGCCUGAAGAACAGGUUGAUUGAGCAGCAUUCGUGGUAAUGAAGCAGACGAAAUCCCGGGCCAACCAAAAUAUACUCCAGGACCGUCAGCAAAUUUAUAUUUGUAUGCAACUCAUCCAGUUAAUAAAUGUAAUUUUCAAAAGUUCA